rnacentral:rRNA from 1 species
UACGUAGGUCCCGAACGUUGUCCGGAUUUAUUGGGCGUAAAGCGAGCGCAGGUGGUUUAUUAAGUCUAGUGUAAAAGGCAGUGGCUCAACCAUUGUAUGCAUUGGAAACUGGUAGACUUGAGUGCAGGAGAGGAGAGUGGAAUUCCAUGUGUAGCGGUGAAAUGCGUAGAUAUAUGGAGGAACACCGGUGGCGAAAGCGGCUCUCUGGCCUGUAACUGACACUGAGGCUCGAAAGCGUGGGGAGCAAACAGG